rnacentral:misc_RNA from 1 species
GAAAUGCGAUAAGUAGUGUGAAUUGCAGAAUACAGUGAAUCAUCGAAUCUUUGAACGCACAUUGCGCCCCUUGGUAUUCCAUGGGGCAUGCCUGUUCGAGCGUCAUUUGUACCCUCAAGCUCUGCUUGGUGUUGGGUGUUUGUCCCCGUCUCCGCGCGUGGACUCGCCCCAAAGUGAUUGGCAGCCGGCGUACUGGUCCCGGAGCGCAGCACAUGUCGCGCAAACGAGUGCCUUGGUACGGCGGCGUCCAUAAGCCCCUCUCUCACGCUCUUGACCUCGGAUCAGGUAGGGAUACCCGCUGAACUUAAGC